GUGACAAUGGGAAAUUCGGCGUGAACUGUGAGAGACACUGCGACCGCUGUAACGGGACAUGUGAUGCUGUUGAUGGAAGAUGUCUCUGGGGAUGUGCUGAGGGAUACACUGGUUCCAAAUGCGCAGUGAAGCGUGAAUCACAGAGAUGUUCGGCAAUCACUCCUGCAACAGCUGGUAUUAUCGGCUUAACUGCUGGAAUAUGUUUCAUGCUGAUUCUAGGAGUUGGACUCUACGUGGGCCUCGUAAGACAAGGGAGGCUGCAGUGGAUAAGCUCGUCUCACAAGGAUGCAGUAGAAGUCAAGGAAACUCAAGUGCCAGUGGACAAGGACACAACACAGCCAUCAGACAACUACACAUCUAUAUCCGAGCAGGCACGUGGUCGCAACAUCUACAACAACGACUAUGCUGCGCUGGAUGUCGAGGCAAAGGCGAAUAAUGACUAUGACGUAAUUAAGAACCAGGCUUAUGAAAAUCUGUAGAA